rnacentral:lncRNA from 10 species
CUGAAUCAGAACCCUGGAGAUGGGCUCAACAGUCUGAGGUUUCACAGUCCCUCCAGGUGUUUCUGAUGCCUGUUCAAGUUUGAGAAUCAAUGGACUAAAGUCUUGAUGAACCACAAACAGCAUUGGAAGAUCAAAUCUUCCAUGUCGCACUAUUGCUUCUGACAAUGUAUCAAACCGCAUCACUUUUUCAGCUUUGGAUCUUACCCUCUGCAGAAGUUCCUUAUGUAAUAGAUUUCAUGUUAAGAAAACAGGGUUUCCUGCAGUUCUGAACAUUCACAGAAACUCGAUUCACCACCAGAAUCUUAGGAGGCAUUUUGGCGUCUGAUGCAAUUUAGAACUUAAAUGGAGACACAAUCUGAUGCCUGACCUGAAUUGUUUAACUAUAAAAUAUGUUCCUAUUAGGAAAGUCACAUACAACAAAAGGAAACAUACUGUGAG